rnacentral:tRNA from 1 species
GCGCGGGUGGCGAAAUUGGCAGACGCGCCGGAUUUAGGUUCCGGUGCCUUCGGGCGUGGGGGUUCAAGUCCCCCCUCGCGCA